rnacentral:rRNA from 1 species
GAUGAACGCUGGCGGCGUGCCUAAUACAUGCAAGUCGAGCGAACGGACGAGAAGCUUGCUUCUCUGAUGUUAGCGGCGGACGGGUGAGUAACACGUGGAUAACCUACCUAUAAGACUGGGAUAACUUCGGGAAACCGGAGCUAAUACCGGAUAAUAUUUUGAACCGCAUGGUUCAAAAGUAAAAGACGGUCUUGCUGUCACUUAUAGAUGGAUCCGCGCUGCAUUAGCUAGUUGGUAAGGUAACGGCUUACCAAGGCAACGAUGCAUAGCCGACCUGAGAGGGUGAUCGGCCACACUGGAACUGAGACACGGUCCAGGCUCCUACGGGAGGCAGCAGUAGGGAAUCUUCCGCAAUGGGCGAAAGCCUGACGGAGCAACGCCGCGUGAGUGAUGAAGGUCUUCGGAUCGUAAAACUCUGUUAUUAGGGAAGAACAUAUGUGUAAGUAACUGUGCACAUCUUGACGGUACCUAAUCAGAAAGCCACGGCUAACUACGUG